rnacentral:rRNA from 1 species
AAUCAACGCUGGCGGCGUGCCUCAGACAUGCAAGUCGAACGAUUAAAGCUCUCUUCGGAGAGUGCAUAAAGUGGCGCACGGGUGAGUAACACGUAAGUAAUCUACCUUCGAGUGGGAAUAACGUCCGGAAACGGACGCUAAUACCGCAUAAUGCAGCGGCAUCGCAAGAUGACAGUUGUUAAAGAUUUAUCGCUUGAAGAGGAGCUUGCGGCAGAUUAGCUAGUUGGUAAGGUAAUGGCUUACCAAGGCUACGAUCUGUAACCGGUCUAAGAGGACGGUCGGUCACACUGACACUGAAUAACGGGUCAGACUCCUACGGGAGGCAGCAGUCGGGAAUUUUGGG